CUCAUGCACAUGCGUUUUGUCCAUCUUCACAAUAAGCUGUCAUUUCAAUGCUCUUGGCACAGCUUCACAAGUUGUGUUUCACAAAGACACAGUCACGACAGCCAAUGAAAAGCGAACGGAAGAAAUGCGAGGACGAAGAUCCCAGCUAAAGCAAACACUGUCCACCACAAUGAAGACUGCAGUUGUGGCAUGGAGGAAAAGGAGGCAAAGACCCCAUCUUACCCACAUUCGGUGGUCAGCUGAAACCAGAAGGAGAUACAUAAAUAAACUGCACCACUGAGCUGCAAGGGUGGCCUGUGCCAUACUUGGUUGGGGAUGUGGGGUUCUGGUUAGUGUUAGAGCUGCCACAGCACCCCCACGUGCCUUGCCUCCACAAUUGCCUCAAAGUGGGCACAGCCUCACUGCAGAUCCAGAGACAUUCUUGGCAUUUUUGGCAGGUAGAGCUAGAUUAGAGCUAGCUGGACUGUUGAGAUGUGUGCCAGAUCACUUAUGGGGUGUUGCUUAUGUCACUAAUUUCAGUAUGAACAAGAAUUGGAACCACAGCCAGGUACUUGGACAUUCUGACUCUUACCAACAAGAACAGAUAUAAGCUGAGGCUGAGCUAUGCCCACAGCAGAAGGGCCAACAAAGUAAAGUUUUCUGUUUUAUUUCAUUCUUUUCUCUCUAUAUCACAUACAUAUUGCUUCAUUUAAUUCAUAUUCAAUCUACCCUUGGUUUUCCUCUUUAUAAGAGUGAGCAAAUGCAUGAGCGCAACUGUGCAGCGUCUCGCUUAGGCAGCUCUUACUGAACUUGGCGUGCUCUGACAAAAUCCAUUUUGUGAUCAAGUUAUGAUUAGAGUGAUAUGGUCUUGGCUUCUCAGCGUUUGCACUAAAUGCUCAGCUGUCUCACACACAGAGUGAGAACACACACAUACAAUAUUACUCACAUAUGACAAAGUAGACUGCUUUAGUGAAAAUGCCUAGUUUCUUAUUAUAACUUUAAUUUAUGAUUGUGUGUUUUACUGUAAAAAAUGUUCAGGUAACAUCUUAAUGUGGCACAUACAGCAUGGUAACGUUUUGCAGUGUGGUGAAUUUUGAUUUGUUGAUUGUGCAAAUGCAGAAGAGAUUCAGUAAUUACAAAUAACAUCAAGAUUUAAAUUUGAUCAUUCAUUUUGUAUCCAUUAAAAAUGAUCAACAAAGGAAAAUGACCCAGUUGAUGUCAAUGCAAACCAAAUGAACAUUUCAUAAACACCCCCUGCCCCUCCAGGCAUCAUCUCACUCACCUGAGAUGGUCAACAAGUUCCUCAAAAUGACCACACUAAAAUCUGUUUUUCCAUUCAGCCUCUUCGAUCCCAAUUCGAAUGAUAAAGUAUUUGAGCUCUGCAACAAUGCACAAGGCUUGGUCUAUUCUUGUUUGGUUCAACGGCUUUUUGUUACUGCAUUUUGAGAGAACCCUCACAACUUUGUCUUAAA